GACGAACGCUGGCGGCGUGCCUAAUACAUGCAAGUAGAACGCUGAAGGAGGAGCUUGCUCUUCUGGAUGAGUUGCGAACGGGUGAGUAACGCGUAGGUAACCUGCCUGGUAGCGGGGGAUAACUAUUGGAAACGAUAGCUAAUACCGCAUAACAGUAGAUAUCGCAUGAUAGCUGCUUGAAAGGUGCAAUUGCACCACUACCAGAUGGACCUGCGUUGUAUUAGCUAGUUGGUGAGGUAACGGCUCACCAAGGCAACGAUACAUAGCCGACCUGAGAGGGUGAUCGGCCACACUGGGACUGAGACACGGCCCAGACUCCUACGGGAGGCAGCAGUAGGGAAUCUUCGGCAAUGGACGGAAGUCUGACCGAGCAACGCCGCGUGAGUGAAGAAGGUUUUCGGAUCGUAAAGCUCUGUUGUAAGAGAAGAACGAGUGUGAGAGUGGAAAGUUCACACUGUGACGGUAUCUUACCAGAAAGG
rnacentral:rRNA from 1 species